ACGACGCCCGCUCAGCCUCCUUAGCUCCUCCCCUGGGCUGUCAGUGCGGACCCCGCCCUCUCAGCCGUCCAAUCGGCUCUGAACUCCGACCCAUUCUCCUCCUGCUUCCGCCGUCGCCGCGCGGCGUCUAUUUUGCCCUGCCUAGUCUUCCUUUUUCAGGCUUCUACUACUCACUGUCCAGUUUCUGGUUUUCUUGCAUAUUGUCCCUCAGAUUUCAGUCCUUCGCCCCUGCUUUUUAGUUUCGCGGUCAAGGAGAACGGUUGCUGUGUUUUAGAACGCAGUGGGUACGUCAAAAAGUAUGCAGGAGAGGAAGAACAAGGUUCAAGCAAGUGUGGCUGGUCUGGUUGAAAGAAAAUAAAAGACGGUAAAUAAAAUUCACCAGAGACCACAUAGCCAGAGAAGGACAAGCUGGGUUUUGAAUCUAGGCAAUCUUGACCCCAGAGCCCUCCAGCCUAAAGAAAUGAAGCACCCUGGGAGUUCCUGUUGUGGCUCAGAAGAAAUGAAUCUGACUAGUAUCCAUGAGGGCAAAGGUUUGAUCCCUGGCCUCGCUCAGUGGACUAAGGAUCCAGCAUUGCUGUGAGCUGUGGUGUAGGUCAUAGACAUGGACCUGGCAUUGCUAUGGCUGUGGCAUAGGCUGGCAGCUACAGCUCCGAUUUGACCCCUAGCCUCGGAACCUCCAUAUGCCACGUGUGCGGCCCUAAAAAGACCAAAAAAAAAAGAAGAAGAAGAAAGAAAUGAAGUACCCUGAUUGGCCACACCUAGGUAAUCGGACUACUCCAGUUGCUGGGAAGUGAAUGUGUCAGCCUAACCUGGACCAGAUGGGAUGAGAAUGGGGAAGGCACUGGACUUAUGUGAAACCUGAACAGAUACUAAUUUAAUUUGGUCUCAGUAUAUUGCUAAAGACUUUGAAAUGCUUUGAAAAUUAUUUUUCUUAUUUCUUAUUAUUACUAGUUGACAACCUUGGCUAUAUAUUGGAAUCGCCUGGAGAGUACACUACCCCAGACCAACUAAAUCUUGGGGAUGGGACCCUGGCAUAGGCAUUUCUACAGCUCCCAAGGGUGAUGGUGCUUAAUGAUUAUCUGUCAGAAGGAUGGACAAAUAUAUAGAUGGGAAAACUAAGGAGCAAAGCCAUCAAUGAUUUGUCCCAGCCCUCUCAGGAAGUUAAUGCAUAGUUAAAAAGAGAACCAUAGAUUUCAGGGGUAUUUUUCAAUCCACAAACUUGCUAGGUCUAUGCAGAUUUUUGUUUGUUUUUAAAUAAAUGCUCUAAAACUACGCUAGAGCAAGAAGAGUAUAGGGACACUGGAGGCAACCAAAAAGAAAAAACAGAAACAAAAACAAAAAGACCCUGAAAUUACAGCCUCAGAAUAUACAGGGUUUUUAAGAAUGGUGAUGUGGAACCAAAAAAAAAAAAAAAGAAGAAGAAGAAGAAGAAGAAUUCUAAGAAACAAAGACUCAUAAUUCUCUUCUUCAAGACCCCUUUGGUUACCAACCAUUAAGGAGACUGAUUCCUAAACCUGCCCCUUACUCCCUCCGCAUAAUCCCAACAUGUACAAAAAGCAAAAGGCUGUGACUCUGGGAACCCCAGCCACUAGAAGCCUCCAUCAUUCAUUUUAGCUUUGUGACAACUACCUGGAAACUCAACAUCAUGCAGCAUAAAUUUUUUUCUUUAUGGCAAAGUCCCAGUAUCACUUCAGAUUUUACCAAGAUCAUAGCACACUCUUUUUCUUAGACUAGAACCAGGCAGAAAGUCUUACUUACUUACAACCUUAAGGCAAAUUAUAGACUAACUGGUCACCUAAAGUAAUGAAAGGAAAGAAGUGUCACUUCCCAUUUGACCAAAACUCUACCAGAGGCACAAGCCUGUUAGAGUAUUCUUCACUGUACAAUGUAACUCUUGCUCAUGACUGAAAAAAUUAGAGUGACCCAUUUUAUUGAGUGGUGGGCAGAUUGCAAACGGUUGACCAAAGUGGCUCCAGGACUGAUGAAAUUAUCCUUUUUGCUUCACAUUUCGGGACUCAUGUGAAUUGUCAGCAUGUCAAGCCCUGAAUGGAAAUACCAGGAUGUUCCAAAUUUCACCAACUGCCACAGGUACUUUGGCUGAAAACCAUUUGACUAAGUGAAAUUUCACCAAAUAUAAUUUGACCAAGUAAAGUGUUUAUGGGUAUUUAAUAAAUAAUUUAGUCAAUAGGAAAAUUAGUAAAAUAAUACAUGAAAGUGAGUAACCACGAUCACUGCUUUUUAAGUCUUGGUAAUUUUGGUAUGUGUACCAUUAGUGGUUCUGCACAUCUUAAGCAUUUUUGUCUGAUUGUUAAAAUUGGUUCUUUUGUUGCUGUUGUUGUUAUUGUUUUUAUCAAUUACUUAUGCCCCUUGCUUCUUACAAUACUGAAAAGUUGGAAAAAAGAAUUGUUUAACAACAGUGGAACAACCUACAUGACUGACAAAAAACAACUAAAAAUCUUUUAAUAGUGGAAUCCAUUAAAAUAGAAUUUUUAUAUGUUUUA